UACGUAGGGACCGAGCGUUGUCCGGAAUCAUUGGGCGUAAAGAGCGUGUAGGCGGCUUGUUAAGUCUUGCGUGAAAUCUCGGGGCUCAACCCCCGAGCGGUCGUGAGAAACUGGCAGGCUAGAGUGCGGGAGAGGAGAGUGGAAUUCCUGGUGUAGCGGUGAAAUGCGCAGAUAUCAGGAAGAACACCCGUGGCUAAGGCGGCUCUCUAGUACGGUACUGACGCUGAGACGCGAAAGCGUGGGGAGCGAACAGG
rnacentral:rRNA from 1 species